AACGAACGCUGGCGGCAGGCCUAACACAUGCAAGUCGAGCGGUUGCACAGGGAGCUUGCUCCUGGGUGACGAGCGGCGGACGGGUGAGUAAUGUCUGGGAAACUGCCCGAUGGAGGGGGAUAACUACUGGAAACGGUAGCUAAUACCGCAUAACGUCGCAAAACCAAAGAGGGGGACCUUCGGGCCUCUUGCCAUCAGAUGUGCCCAGAUGGGAUUAGCUAGUAGGUGGGGUAAUGGCUCACCUAGGCGACGAUCCCUAGCUGGUCUGAGAGGAUGACCAGCCACACUGGAACUGGGACACGGUCCAGACUCCUACGGGAGGCAGCAGUGGGGAAUAUUGCACAAUGGGCGCAAGCCUGAUGCAGCCAUGCCGCGUGUAUGAAGAAGGCCUUCGGGUUGUAAAGUACUUUCAGCGGGGAGGAAGGUGUUGAGGUUAAUAACCUCAGCAAUUGACGUUACCCGCAGAAGAAGCACCGGCUAACUCCGUGCCAGCCGCCGCAGUAAAAC
rnacentral:rRNA from 1 species